AUGUAUGGCCACUUGAUCCUGUCUGCGGCGCGGCGUGGCGCGGCGCAUGGUCCUCAAUCAUGCCCCCUGACCCUGAGCACUGUGUUAUCAAGGGUCCAUCUAUGCAUGAUCACACUGGGGAAGAAGAAGCACGCGGGGAGGCUGCAGAAGGUUCUGAGGGAGCAGAAGGCCAGGGUCUACAUCAUCCGCCGCUGCGUCGUCAUGCUUCUCUGCUGGAGUGACUGA
rnacentral:rRNA from 1 species